rnacentral:rRNA from 1 species
AACGUAGGAGACAAACGUUAUCCGGAGUUACUGGGCGUAAAGGGCGUGUAGGUGGUUUCGUAAGUCUGGCGUGAAAUUUUUCGGCUUAACCGGGAAAGGUCGUCGGAUACUGCGGAACUAGAGGACGGUAGAGGCGUGUGGAAUUCCGGGUGUAGUGGUGAAAUGCGCAGAUAUCAGGAGGAACACCUAUGGCGAAGGCAGCUCGCUGGGACGGUACUGACGCUGAGGCGCGAAAGCUAGGGGAGCAAACGGG